UGAGGCGUGUGAAGUUUGAAGUCAUGGUUGAGACACCCAGGGUUCAGAUGAGUCCCAUCCCAGAGACAGAGCCUCUUUGGCGGGUAGAGAGUACCAAACACCUCCCUGGAGAUCCACCUCAUGGACAGAAAAUUGGGAGGCCCGUGGUAAUACACCCUGAUGACAGUGUGAAAGACUGUGAGGAUGUUGGAGGAGAGAGACCCUGGCCUCUACAGAGAGGAGAGAGACCCUGGCCUCUACAGA